rnacentral:rRNA from 1 species
AAUUUUGGACAUUGGGGGAAACCCUGAUCCAGCCAUCCCGCGUGUGCGCUGAAGGCCUUCGGGUUGUAAAUCACUUGUGUUAGGGAAAAAAAGGUUCUGGCUAAACCCCGAAACUGAUGACGGUACCUGAAGAAUAAGCACCGGCGAACUACGUACCAUCAGCCGCGGUAAUACGUAGGGUCCAAGCGGUAAUCGGAAUUACCGGGCCUAAAGCGUGCGCAGGCGGUUCGGAAAGAAGGAUGUGAAAUCCCAGGGCUCAACCUUGGAACUGCAUUCUUAACUACCGAACUAGAGUAUGUCAGAGGGGGGUAGAAUUCCGCGUGUAGCAGUGAAAUGCGUAGAUAUGCGGAGGAAUACCGAUGGCGAAGGCAGCCCCCUGGGAUAAUACUGACGCUCAUGCACGAAAGCGUGGGUAGCAAACAGG